GACGAACGCUGGCGGCGUGCUUAACAUAUGCAAGUUGAACGGAAAGGCCCUGCUUUUGUGGGGUGCUCGAGUGGCGAACGGGUGAGUAACACGUGAGUAACCUGCCCUUGACUUUGGGAUAACUUCAGGAAACUGGGGCUAAUACCGGAUAGGAGCUCCUGCUGCAUGGUGGGGGUUGGAAAGUUUCGGCGGUUGGGGAUGGACUCGCGGCUUAUCAGCUUGUUGGUGGGGUAGUGGCUUACCAAGGCUUUGACGGGUAGCCGGCCUGAGAGGGUGACCGGCCACAUUGGGACUGAGAUACGGCCCAGACUCCUACGGGAGGCAGCAGUGGGGAAUAUUGCACAAUGGGCGGAAGCCUGAUGCAGCAACGCCGCGUGCGGGAUGACGGCCUUCGGGUUGUAAACCGCUUUCGCCUGUGACGAAGCGUGAGUGACGGUAAUGGGUAAAGAAGCACCGGCUAACUACGUG
rnacentral:rRNA from 1 species